ensembl:lncRNA
GACGAAAAGAAUUUGUUGAAUAAAGUCAUUAUUUUUGUUUUGUUUGUGCACCAAAAGGAUAUAUUCUCGUAGAUUCGUAAAAUUACGGUUGAUCCACUGAUGUCACAUGGACUAUUUUAACGAUGUCCUUUUUCGGGACCUUGAACGUGGUAGUUCAUUUUUUUAAACGAUUUUUAUUAUACUAACACAGAUGCUGUUAUAUUAAAACAACAAUUAAACCAUCCAUGUUUUAAUAAAAGUAAUCACUUUCCUCAGAUUUAAGGAUUCAUACAUGAUGAAUGCGCAACUGCAGUAACCCACAGCUGCCAAAUCUCUGAACAACCCCCCACACGAUAGGUGCUGAAGAAAAACUGUUAAUACACAGCUUUCGUUUUGGAGCUUUGAUGCAGUGGUGCAAACAGGAAAUAAAACGCGCAAAUCGUGUGAAACUGCACAUAUUUAAUUGAGACCCUUUAUUUUUUCCAUAUUUGUAGGAAGGGCACUAAAACAUCAGUCAGUAAGGUUUUUAGAACUUUAUGAAUGAAAGCCUUUUUUAUGGUCACCGUUGUGACUGGUGGGAUUAAAUGGGUUAAUAGUUAUUUUUCUUCAGAAGUACAGGAAGCCGCAAUUUCCCAAAAUAUGCUUCAGUUUGAUGAAAUAAGCUUCCUGAUAGUUCAUGUAUCUUUUCAGAAUAAACGUGAAACCACAAGGUGGCGCACUUUGUUUGUUGAAAACAGGGGUAAAGUUCUUGUCUCUCCUCCCCUACAAACCUACAACUCACCUCCCAUUUGCUGACUGCCUUCAUCAGUACAGACAAGCCUGCACCAGAAGUACAUCUCAGCAGAGCACAAGGCAAAGGAAAUUUAAAUCAAAAUCCAAUAAUCUGAACAAUGGAUCCCAGCCAGUCUUUUAAUCAGCCUCCAGGGGCCUGGAAUUCAUCUGAAAAAUCAGCGAUGUUGUAUCCUUCAGCACCACCACCAUACCAGGCCAAUCCUGCUGGAUAUCCUCCCUCCUUUCCAAGCCAGCCAUUCCCCCAAGGCCCCUAUGCCCAGGGGCCGUAUCCAGGACAGCCUGUGGUUGCUGUACAGCCUACAGUUUUUGUGACCGCCGCUCCACUGGCUAGUCAAGUGCCAGAUUACUUGGGUUACUCUAUUUUUACCAUGCUGUGCUGCUUUUGGCCUCUGGGUAUUGCUGCACUUAUUUUCUCCUGCUCUACUCGAAAUGCCAACUUCUCAGGACAGCGAGAAUUAGCAGAGAAGAACUCCAAAACGGCGCUCAACCUGAAUCAUGCUGCCCUUGCUGCCCUUUUUUACUCCCUCACAGUAAGUAUUAGUUCAUAUACCUGUCUUAUACACUUCAUUUAACAUAUACUGUACCUGUCUUUUGUAUAUACAGUAUAUUUAUAGAGCAUUCCGAAAGUAUUCAGACCCUCUUCACAUUUUCAGUUUUGUUAUGUUGCAAUCUGAUAUUACAAUUAUUUAAAUUCAUUUUUUUUUCUAUUAAUCUACACUCGGUACAUCAUAAUGACAAAGUGAAAACAGAAUUUUAGAAAUGUCUGUACAUAAAUUAAAAAGAAAAAACUGAAAUAACACAUUUACAUAAGUACUCAGUACUUAGUUGAAGCACCUUUGCAGCAAUUACAGCCUCGAGUCUUUUUGGGUAUGACUCAACAAGCGUUGCAUCACUAGCCCUCACUCACAACUCUCUGAAGACUCGUUCACCCUGCCAGUGUCUCGCAGUGAUCAUUUUCAUACCAGGGACGCUAAACAUUCUUGCAAACGGUCUAAACUGAAUUACACAUGUCAUGCAGGUAUUUUCACGUGAGGAGUUUAACUGGAAAUUAGUCAUUCAGAGAACAAAUUUUAUUUUUGAACAUGAGAAAUUUACAGAAAUCUGGACCUCGGUGGCCUGAAGCUUAUUAAAAGUACAAUUAUGUACUCUGACUGCUGUCAGAACUGAUUUUGUACCUUUAAAUUAAAACAAAGGUCCACAGUUUUCAUCUUAAGGACCAUUUUCUGUACCUUGCAACCUUUUGUGCCAAAUGCACCUUUAGGUACAGAAACAAUACCCCUAUUUUUCUGUCUGUACAGGCCACACAUACUUAAAAAAAAAAAUGUUAAACGUAAGUUCAAAACAUAAAUUAUUCAAGCUAUCAAUCAAUCAGCAAUUUGCUACAUUUCUAAAGAAAUACUUUCCAAAUAUAAAAACAACAACAUACUUUAAAACAGAUGUAGCUGAACACCUUCAUAGUCUUUCAGUUUUAUCAUCUAUACAAAAUGUAACAACUUCAUUAAUUUUAUAGUGAAUAAUUUUGUACUGUAAUGUAAACUUGGACCACAUAAUAUAUACUUGGGAUGAAUUCUCUAAACAGAUUGGUGUAUAAUUAGGUCAUUGACAGCAUGCUUGCUGGGUGACAACCUUUGUGUUAUGGAAGAAUGAGCAGAUGUGUAUGAAACAUAAGUAUUAUGAAAACAUCCACAUUUUUGUCCUGAGAUUGAAUUUUCCUGCGCUCCUCAAGUUGCAUGUGGCUUCCACCAGGUGGCACUUGCAGUCAUGCUGGAGAAUUUACAAAAAGUUAAAUCUAUGCCAAAAUCUUGUCACUCCUCAACUUACAAAACAACCCAACCUACCAGUCCCCUUAAGAGGAAUGUGCCCAAAUACAAUCGAUUAAUCUUCACUGACUAGAGACAGACACUGUUCAGAGCUGCAGAAAAGC